CCAUGCCAAGAGACAGGUCAGCACACUGCUUGAGGAACACCACUUCGGGCAGGUUCUGUGUCCUGCAGCACAGCUGGGAGCAGGGUUUUCACGGGCAGCAGCACAACGCCCUAACAAGAGGCUGACAGAGCCAGCAUCUUUGUGUUCAUGGCUGCAAGCCUGUCUCUCCUCUGCUGGCAUCUUCACGGGGUUUUGUGUGUCUGGGUGUGCUUGGACAGCUGAACGAUUUUCCCUGAGCACUCCUGCUGUGCUGGUGGCACCCUCGGUGGUGGGCAGAGCUUUGUGUGCUCUGCACCCACCCCAGCGUGCCUCCGGCUGGGUCACUCCUUGCAGCACCUCCUUGUCCUGGGUGCUUUCAGGGCAGGUGCAUGGCCCUGCCCUCACUGCCCAGCUCGCUGUGCCGCCCGUUGUGCUCACCCACACGCGUCUGCAGAAGUGGCAGGGUGCCCAAGCCAGGCAUCGCCUGGCUGGAGCACCCAGACGCGGUCACAGCUGAGGUGUUUGUUAGGGCGUAUCGAUUCCUGCUCAUGCCCUAAUUUUUUAAUUACAAAGUUCAGCCUGCAGGUUGUCUUUGGAGAACUCUCUUUGGUAUUUCCUCUUCCUGAAGCGAGAAACCCUUUGUCCGUAGCUUUCCUGCUUUCAUAUGGGAGGGAAAAUGGGAUUUUAUGUUUGAGUAAGUGGGAUGCAAAACACCAGUUCUGUUUGAGUCUGGGCUGCUUUCCGUUGGCAGGUGGGAAAACAUUGCUGUUUGCUUUUCUUACAUGCUGGCGACGCUCCGCUACGGUGCGAGAUGAGCGCUGCCAGCCAGAGAGGAAGGCAGGAGCUGGAUGAGGAGGGAAACACACGGGGCUGGCGGUGCUGGAGAAAUGCCUCCUCACUUCCCCGAGGCACCUGGCAGCUUCACCCAGCCGGCGCUCAGGCGCGUGUGCGGGCUGGGGCUUCCCAAAAGCUGCCCUGGGCCGGGCCGGGCGCCAGGCGUCUCCCACUGGGCGCCGGCGGUGCUGGCAGGCAGGAUGGGGCCCCGGCCCCACGCUCACCUCUCCUGCCCCUGCAGGGCUUUGGGUGCUCCUGGCGAUGGAGGCGAGGGGGUGUGGAAAGCCGUGGGUCCCGCCGAGCUGAGGAGGAGCAGGAGAUUAGCUGAGAGGAGAGACAGGUGUAAUUAUCCGUGACAGACUCAGAGGCGGUGUGCGCAACCAUUUCCUCCUGAAGACCUUGGGACAGUCGAGAAAGAAAAACUUCCUGGUCUUGUGCAAAGAUGAAUGACAUCAGGAUUUAUCACGGGAAAAAAGGUCUGAAAACAGAUACGUGAGUGAUGGGAUGGGAGCACACUGCCUUAGUGUGGCUUCUGCAGCUGAAAUGCCAAAUCCCAUAUCGGUCUGAAUUGCUGCUGACCAUCUCUCAACCAGGAAUAUUUCACUUCCAGAGCUGACUCCAGCUUUUCCAGCCCCACGUGCGGCUGUCAGGCUGUGGGAGCCUCGCACUGGGGUGGAGGAGAAAGAGGAGAGCCAGGUGGAGCGGGAAUUGUAGGGCAGUGGGGUCAGUGGGGCAGCUCGUGAGAAAUGCACGCUGCGGCCUCCAGCACUUCAUCCCUUGUUACCUUUGAGUUCAGGGCCUUCUGCUGCGCUGUCAUGGGGUCAGAUUUGGUGAUAGUAAGUGCUUUGUCCUAGUGACCCUAUUUUUGUUGAGAGGCUUGGCUUGGACCUCCUGCCGCUGCAAAUACCAGUGCUGAGGGAUGCAACACAAUGCUAAGGUGCCAACUGGAAAACAUCGACACCGUGUUUUCCCCCCGGUAUUUAGCAGCAUUUGCCUUUCAUGUCCAUCAGUGCUCCUUGGCCCGCUCUUCCUUGCUUUGUCUUGCAUGGAGCUGCUCUGCAUGGACAGAGGGGCAGAGCUGGCAUCCUGCCUCUUCCUUGCUCAGUGCACAGCUCACAUCACGGCUUUCCCUCAGCUCCUGGAUGAAUUUGCCAUCAGGCAGCCGCACAACGGGGAGAAAACCCACACUCCAAGAGCAGCAACGCACAGCUCGGUGUCACAGAUCUGCUGGCUUUUGGGGUUUUCAUUAGGACGUUGAUGAGGGAGCAGUGAAUACCCGACUGGGGGUGCUCGGGGCUGGUAGGAGUUGUACCUCUUUCUCAAGAGGAAAGGCAGGAACAAACAAAAGCACCCACACUGGGGUGAGCAGCAGCAAUCCCCACGGGGCGCAUCCCGCCUCUCCAGUGGUCCUUGGCGCUCUGAGGCAGAAAGCAUGAACACCUCUGCCCGAGUAAUUAACAGCGACCUGAAUCAGACAUUGCCAGCUACACGUCUCUCUGUGGAGGUGACACAAUUCUCGGCACGCCUGCAGCCAGCAGGGCUGGGAGAUGGGUGCCUGCAGCCACCCCAGGGCUCAGGAGGAGCCCGGCUGGCGCUGGGAGCACGCGGAGGGACGGACGCCCGCCUGGCGCGGACGGGAGCGGUGGCAGGGGGAGGAAAGCGUGGCAGGGGAAGGCCGAGGGGUGUGAGAGAGAGGGAGACGUGGACCGGAGAUACCUGUUCCCUGCCGCUUCACCUCCAGCUGCUCGGGCAGCCCGUCAGGUCUUCCCGUGUGCUGCAGUUUUUAAUCAGCCCCGGGAUCUCCCGUCAACUCGCCUGCACAGGUGAGCGCUCCGCGUGUCCUCAGGGACUCGGGGCAGCCCUGCAAAAUCACACACGCGUUGGUGCUGUGCAUAGCCAGAGCAAAUGGGCGUGUCAGAAGGAAGGACUUGAUGGACUAGAUGCCCUCGUCCUCCAGAAGGAAGCUGCUGCUCAUGGGGGCUCAGACAAUCCCCCAGAGGGUUGCUGUGGUGUCGCCCGUUCCCUGUUGUUCUCGGCAGGGCUGUGCUUGCCCGUGGUGGUGGUGGGUUGGGCUUAGCCCCAUGUCUCCUGCCUCAUGUUUGGGCAGCUUUGGCAGCUCUCGGGCUCCUGGUGGGGCACCACCACUGCUGGGACACGUGGAGAUCACCACCAGGCCUCUCACAGGUGUAACGUCCCUAAGGACAGAGGCUGGGGCCCGGCCCCAUAUGGAGCUGGGACACACGUCUGCAGUCAGGGGACACCAACCCGCUGCAGGCCCCUGAGCCACAGCUUUCUCCAACGAAAGUCCAUGGAGCCGCUUUUCUCUCCCCAAAACAGGCUCGUGAUGCCCAGGGAGAUGCAGGGUUGGCAUCUCCAGCCGGGACGGCCGCCACGGGCCUGACACCCUGCUCGGUCUCUCUCAGGUGGCUCAGGGCGCAGCCGCAGGAGAGGUGUUUUUGGCUGCCCUGCCAGGUGCUGCUCUGCCGGCCCGGCUCCUACACGUGUCACACAAGCUGCUGGGUGCUCCCGUCUGACUCACGGCCACGAACACACCAAAAUCCAGUCAGGGGGAGGCUGGCUGGCGGCGUUGCUUGCUCACCGCUGCUGCCCAGGCCUGGUGGCUGCUGCUGGAGGCCGCCCACCCCGUCAUUAGCCUUUGUGCCUGCUGGAGGUGGCUCUGGAGGGCGGCUACGGGCACAGCGGGGGGACAGGACGGGAACCUGAUCGGGAGGAUAAGGAGAAGAUGCUCGGUGCCGCCACAGGAUUGCAUGCGAGAGCCCGGUAUUGUCUGAAGGGAGGACAGCCGAGAUACCAUCGUCUACUCCUGUUAUUACACCCCGGGUUCAUCAAGGGCUGAAGACAAAGAGCCAGUUAAUUAUUUAUGACAUAUGCAUAAAGGGGAAGGCAGGAACACGCAAAGGGCUAUUUCAUCAUUUUUUUUUCAGCCUAGCAAGGCUGCUUAGUCUGUAAGAACCAGCACUUCUUCUUUUAAGUCUCAUUUUGAAAUUUGCCGACAAACUCUGCCCCUCCGGCAUCAGUCAGCCCUGUGGCAAAUUCAAUUUCUGCUCUGCCUCUUCACAGGACACCUCCAAACCUGGGGUUUAUUUCAGCUGCCUGCUUCAGCUUGUCUCAGCCCUGACCUGCAGGGUCUCUGGGGAAGGGCUCGGUGUGUGUAAGGGGCUAACCUAUUGCACGUGGCACAGCUUUCCCUCUGGAAGAAGCUGAUUCAUGGAAACGCUAUGUGCAGUGGUCUCAGCUUUGCUUAUAUUUCCAGUUAACGUUCUGGUCAAAGUGCCUCAUUCUGCCACAUCCUCAGGCCUGGCAUUGCAGUGUGGGGCACUGGGCCUACCUGGCAGCCGCUGUGCUGUGUGUGAGAUUAUUUCUGGGAAUGGUUCAUGUGGGCACAGUGAGAGGAAACUGAACAUGUCCCCUUAGCCAUUUCCUUUCGGCGUGGAGCUGCCAGAAGUGCUGGAGCCAACGCUGGCCUUGCCUUGGCACCCAUGGGUGCUGCAGGAGGGACUCGAGGCUGAGCCUCUGUGGUGGGAGAGGCGACCCCUCCACCAGGACAGCCAGUGGCCUGCAAACAGCACGCCCCACUCUUCACCACUGCACAGUUUUGCUGGCUUUUUAGCUGGGAGUCCAAACAAAGAGAAGCAGAUGCAAAGUAGUUGGAGACGCAAAG